rnacentral:rRNA from 1 species
GACGAACGCUGGCGGCGUGCCUAAUACAUGCAAGUAGAACGCACAGUUUAUACCGUAGCUUGCUACACCAUAGACUGUGAGUUGCGAACGGGUGAGUAACGCGUAGGUAACCUGCCUGGUAGCGGGGGAUAACUAUUGGAAACGAUAGCUAAUACCGCAUAAUAUUGAUUAUUGCAUGAUAAUUAAUUGAAAGGUGCAAUUGCACCACUACCAGAUGGACCUGCGUUGUAUUAGCUAGUAGGUGAGGUAACGGCUCACCUAGGCGACGGUACAUAGCCGACCUGAGAAGGUGGUCGGCCACACUGGGACUGGGGCACGGCCCAGGCUCCUAAGGGAAGCAACAGGAGGGAAACUUCGGCAAAGGACGAAAGGCUGACCGGGCAACGCCGCGUGAGGGAAGAAGGUUUUCGGGUCGUAAAGCUCUGUUGUAAGGGAAGAACGGGUGUGGGAGUGGAAAGUUCACACUGUGACGGUAUCUUACCAGAAAGGGACGGCUAACUACGUG